CACGUAGGGUGCGAGCGUUGUCCGGAAUUAUUGGGCGUAAAGAGCUCGUAGGCGGUGUGUCGCGUCGGCCGUGAAAACCUGCAGCUUAACUGUGGGCUUGCGGUCGAUACGGGCAUCACUGGAGUUCGGCAGGGGAGACUGGAAUUCCUGGUGUAGCGGUGAAAUGCGCAGAUAUCAGGAGGAACACCGGUGGCGAAGGCGGGUCUCUGGGCCGGUACUGACGCUGAGACGCGAAAGCGUGGGGAGCGAACAGG
rnacentral:rRNA from 1 species